rnacentral:rRNA from 1 species
UGGGGAAUAUUGCACAAUGGGCGCAAGCCUGAUGCAGCGACGCCGCGUGAGGGAUGACGGCCUUAGGGUUGUAAACCCCUUUCAGCGGGGAAGAUAAUGACGGUACCCGCAGAAGAAGCCCCGGCUAACUCCGUGCCAGCAGCCGCGGUAAUACGGAGGGGGCUAGCGUUGUUCGGAAUUACUGGGCGUAAAGCGCGCGUAGGCGGACCUGCAAGUCGGGGGUGAAAUCCCGAGGCUCAACCUCGGAACUGCCUUCGAUACUGCGGGUCUCGAGUCCGGGAGAGGUGAGUGGAAUUCCUAGUGUAGAGGUGAAAUUCGUAGAUAUUAGGAAGAACACCAGUGGCGAAGGCGGCUCACUGGCCCGGUACUGACGCUGAGGCGUGAAAGCGUGGGGAGCAAACAGGAUUAGAUACCCUGGUAGUCCACGCCGUAAACUAUGGGUGCUAGCCGUCGGUCGGCAUGCCGGUCGGUGGCGCAGCAAACGCAUUAAGCACCCCGCCUGGGGAGUACGGUCG